GGCCGAGGCGGGUGGAUCACUUGAGCCCAGGAGUUUGGGAUCAGCCUGACCAACGUGGUGAAACUCCAUCUCUACUAAAAAUACACAAAUUAGCCAGGGGUGAUGGCGUGUGCUUGUAGUCCCAGCUACUCGAGAGGCUGAGACACGAGAAUCACUUGAACCUGGGAGGUAGAGGUUGCACUGUGUUGGUGCAGGACUUUCAUGUCUUUGGAGUAGAAUAAGAUGUGCCAAUCCAGACUCAACCCCAUCUCAUCAAGAUCCAGUGAUCUUCAUUUUCCAAUUGUGUACCCCAAGCUCUCUUCCUCCCCAAGCUCAUCCUCCACCCUGCUACUGGACUUGUCUUUGUACCCUCAAAGCAGUGUGAGGAGAUUCAUCAACUGGUGGUGUGGACAUGUGAACAGUGUGAGGCAGAGAGUUAUAAGCUUCUUGAGGGUGGCAGCCAGACAGUAGCAGUUUGCAUGUGAAGCCCCUGCAGUGGCAUAUGGAAGACUUUCAAUACAUCAGGACCAGAGGAUGAGCUGGAAAUGAAAUCACACCCACUGGUGGGAGAAAACCAAACUUGAUGACAGAGGACCAGUAGAGGAAGCAGCUUGAGUGUGUGUCCUCAGAUGCAGACACAAGGCCUUGCCUUCCUGGAUAAGACAGGUGCUGACUGGAGCAGGGUUUGCCAGACUCAAAGGGCCACAUUUUUGGGACAGCUUAAAAUGUGGUAUAUGGACAGUCUGGCAGUGGUAUGUAGAAUGGGUUAAAACUGGAAGACUGGGCUGGGUAUGGUGGUGCAUGCCUGUAAUGCCAGUACUUUGGGAGGCUGAGGCAGGAGGAUUGCUUGAGCCCAGGAGUUCGAGACCAGCCUGGACAACACAAUGAGACUUUGUCUCUCAAAAAACAAACAAGACUGGGUGAUUAGGAGGUGACUACAAGAGCAUAGGGAGUGAGUGGAAAAUGAAAGGAUGUGUGUAAAUCUGAAGAAACGGUCAGAACUGAAGGUCAGAGUGUGUGCUCUGCAAUGUGUGAAUACAGUAUGAAUGUGCUCCAGGAAGAAUAUCUGAAACAGAUUCUCAUGAGUUUCCCGAAGUAUGUGGCUGUAGUCAUAGAGUUGGGGAAGAAGAUAGCAGGAAGUGGGCAGAGGCAGUAAGAGUGGAAUGGGGAUUGAGGAAUUGAUACCCCUGAUGAGAAGUGAGAAAAAAAAAAGGCAGCUUGUGUUGGUGCAUGUGUGGGAGCAGGAGCAAGUUUUUGACAGGACAGGCUGUCACAUAGGGUUUUGCUGCUGAACUCCACCAAGCAAAGCCUUGGAGCAGAGUUCCUCAGCUGCUGAGGUCCACACUCACACUCAGCUGUAGCGGGAGGCUAUGGAGUCUACAGGCUUAUAGGCAAUUCCCAGAGUGUUAGUUUCCCACUGGCAUUCUGGGCAUGUAAGGGGCUUGUAGGGCUGGGCUGGAGACUAGAUGAGCCUGCCUGUGUGCAGGAAGUGCUAAACUGAAUACUGAGUGCCAGGCUUGCCUGGCUCCGUACUAAACAGGGAGUCACGGCUUCUGUCCAUCCAGGAAAUACAUGUACAUCUCAUAUAUACCUAUUCCACAAACUCUUUUUGAAAGCUCAGACAAUAAAUAGGCACAAAGCUACCUAAGCUUAAAAGGCCACCUGGCUCUACAUGUGAGACAUUAACAUGAGGGCUUUAUAGAUACUUUUCUAUAUGUAGCCUCAAGCAGACCAGAAGAAUGUGCCAUCGCAUGUCCACGGGCCAGCUGCAGACCCCCUUGAGCAGACUUGUGAGACUUUUUGCACUGACCUGGAUUUGUGGUCAGACUGACCUGGGUUCAGAUUCCUGUGUCACCAACUGCAGCCAUGUAACCCUGGGCUUGGGCUAACAUCUCUGGUUUUUUUUGUUUUUGAGACAGAGUCUCUCUCUGUCACCCAGGCUGGAGUGCAGUGGUACAAUCUUGGCUUACUGCAACCUCCAUCUCCCAGGUUUAAGCAAUUCUCCCACCUCAGCCUCCCGAGCAGCUGACUACAGGUACGUCCUACCAUGCCUGGCUAAUUUUUGUAUUUUUUGGUAGACCUUGUUGGCCAGGCUGGUCUCAAACUCCUGACCUCAAGUGAUCCACUUGCCUCCCAAAGUGCUGGGAUUACAGGCGUGGGCCACCGCGCCAGGCUCUAUCUAACAUCUCUGAAUCUGAAUUUCUUUGCUUGUAAAAUGAGGCUGGUAUUUAUUUCCCAGAUUUAUUCAGGGGGUUAAAUGAGCUAAAUCCACAUAAGGCAGGCUGGCAGGUUUUCAAGGAAAUGUUUAGUGACCUUCCCCUUCCAUAGGAAAAAACUUAUGUUUUAGAGCUAAACAGACCAGGUUCUCAGCACUUCCCCAUUUCAGAUUAUGUGACCCUGGGAUGUUGAAUCAGCUUCCUCUGCCUGAAUUUCCUCAUCUGUAAAAUGAAGUAUUAUUGCCUUCUUGCUGUGGAGAUGGAAAACUGAGAGGAGCCUGAGGCUCUCCAGCAGAGUGUGGCCUCAGAGUGGCCAGGGCUGGUUAGGUCCACCCUCUCCAACACCUUCAGAGAUGGGAGGACUCACUUUUUCAGUUUCUUCUUCUUCUUCUUCUUUUUUUUUUUAAAGACA